UAACUUCAACAAUACCCUUCUUAACCACGAGGAAGGGUAUUUAAAAUCAAGAAUAGACCCUCUAUGAGACAUAGCAAUAAAUAUGUGUGGAGGCUUUUUUAUUUUAGGCUAUGAAUUUCAAUGUUACUCUUUAUUAAAUCUCAGCAUUUGUACACUGAGUAUAUACUGCGACAAAAGACACGAUAAAAACGUAUUGUUUUCGAGAUAUCGAUAGAUUUGAGAAGAGACAUUAUCAUGCGCUGCAGUACUUGGCAGGAGCUGCAUGCAUAAUUGCCAAAGGUCGCUUGAACAGUCCAUCGCCCCGGUCGCAGAGCUAGGAGCGCGGGAAGCCAGUGCCACCACCCAUCAGUGCUAGUGUCGGAGUGUUGUGGAGUGCCUCAUCAUUAUUUUCGUUUUACAAGCCUACUGACACAGGAUUUCAUCAAUAUCAACUAUACCAGAAGUAAUGGUGUCGGUGUCGACCUGGGGCACUGCUGAAGUUAGUGACUGGCUAACAAGAAUAGGACUACACAACUAUGUUCAAGUUUUUAUAGUCUUUCAGUGCUGGAUACCCAACCUAAAGGUGGAAGAACGUCACAGCCAACUCAUGACGCAGUGGAAGCAAGAGCAAGUACUCCAGUGAGCAGUAUAUGUGGAGAGCCAUCGUUAUCAUCUCUAACAGACACUUUACUGUCUGAUGAGGAGGAAGUGUCUCAGCCACCUUCCACAGUUAUCAAUGACGAGACCUCUGGUGACCUUUGGAAUGAUUUGCAGAAUUACAAACUGCCUCUUUUUCCGCCAUGCGUAAAGACCCUCUUACAAACAAGAAAAAGUCCACAAGAUUACCUGCCUGGAACUUCAAACAGAAGAAGAAUCAUUGAGGUCCUUACAUGUGACCUACAAAAGAGGAAUAUCCUGACACCUUCAAAACAGGGAUACACCAACCUACUAGAUGCCCUGUUUAGUGAAUAUCCACACAUUGGAGACCCAAAAUGUUGGAGGAUGUCCCUUCGUACCAAGAUGAAAAACAUUCA